rnacentral:rRNA from 1 species
UACGUAGGGUGCAAGCGUUAAUCGGAAUUACUGGGCGUAAAGCGUGCGCAGGCGGUUUUGUAAGCCGGAUGUGAAAUCCCCGGGCUUAACCUGGGAAUGGCAUUCGGGACUGCAAGGCUGGAGUGCGGCAGAGGAGACUGGAAUUCCUGGUGUAGCAGUGAAAUGCGUAGAUAUCAGGAGGAACACCGAUGGCGGAAGGCAGGUCUCUGGGCUGACACUGACGCUCAUGCACGAAAGCGUGGGGAGCAAACAGGAUU